UACGGGGGGGGGCAAGCGUUGUUCGGAAUUACUGGGUGUAAAGGGUUCGUAGGCGGUGCGGCAAGUUGGGAGUGAAAUCUCUGGGCUUAACCCAGAGGCUGCUUCCAAAACUGCUGUGCUUGAGUGUGGGAGAGGCGCGUGGAAUUGCAGGUGUAGCGGUGAAAUGCGUAGAUAUCUGCAGGAACACCCGUGGCGAAAGCGGCGCGCUGGACCACUACUGACGCUGAGGAACGAAAGCUAGGGGAGCAAACAGG
rnacentral:rRNA from 1 species